NNNNNNNNNAAUGAGGACUAGUAUGAAUGGCAUCACGAGGGUUAUACUGUCUCCUUUCCCUAAUCAGUGAAACUAAUCUCCCCGUGAAGAAGCGGGGAUGAACAUAUAAGACGAGAAGACCCUAUGGAGCUUUAAACUAAAUUACAUUUGCCUAAAAUAUAAAAAUUUCAGAAAAAUAAAAUUUAUCUAAGCAUUAUGAUAAUAAGUUUUGGGUUGGGGUGACCGCGGAGUAAAAAACACCCUCCGCAUUGAACAAGAUUAUUUUUUUAGCUAAGAGCUACAACUCUAAGCAUCAAUAAAUUGACAUUAUUGACCCAAUAUUUUGAUCAACGAACCAAGUUACCCUAGGGAUAACAGCGCAAUCCACUUCAAGAGCUCCUAUCGACAAGUGGGUUUACGACCUCGAUGUUGGAUCAGGGUAUCCCAGUGGUGCAGCCGCUANUAAAGGUUCGUUUGUU
rnacentral:rRNA from 1 species